ACCUGCUCGUGUUUGGCGGUUCACGAGUGUUCUCCACGGAGAUAACGUCCCCCUCUCGAGAUCAGAGGUCACUCACGUCGGCAGCUAUGCGGAGAGGCGGCAGCUGACCCACAUGGAUUGAUAAAUCCAGUAAGCUGGCUCUGGCUGGCCGAUCGGUAGCUGUUU